AAAACAUAGCCCUAAGAAUUUAUUUAGGGUAAUACCUGCCCAAUGAGAAAUUUAAUGGCCGCGGUACUUUGACCGUGCUAAGGUAGCAUAAUCAGUUGACUUUUAAAUGAAGUCUGGAAUGAAAGGGGGAACGGAAUUUAGCUGUCUUAACUUUUUUAAUUUGAAUUUACUAACUAAGUGAAAAGGCUUAGAAGAGAUAAAAGACGAGAAGACCCUAAGAGUUUUGAAAAUAUUUUUGUUGGGGCGACAUAGGGUCAAUUUAACACCCUAAAGAUAUGGGACGGAUUUAUCAUGUUAAGAUAAACUACCUUAGGGAUAACAGCAUAAUUCUUUUGAGUUUGUGACCUCGAUGUUGGACUAGGAAGCCUUUAGGCUAGCUGCCUAAAAGGGGGAUUCUGUUCGAAUUUUCACUCCUACGUGAUC
rnacentral:rRNA from 1 species